CUUUAAGUUUAAACAAAUUAAUUCCCCAUCAGUCACUUUUGUUAUGUUGUUAUAUUACAAACAUUGAUCUAUAUUAAGGACCAUAUAGAGGCUGAGAAUCCAGAUUUGUUUUUCAGAUAGAGACUGAUUGGUCCAUCUAUCAUCCAUAAGGCCUACGUUUAUUUAUGUGUUGUAAAUAAAUACUUUUAAUAUUUAAACAUUAGGUUAAUAAAUAUUGUUAAUAUUUGUUUAAUAUUUAUUUACCUAUUUUUUGUGCACUUGUUUCAUUUCAGCUCAGUGUAGAGAAAUACAGCGAUACAGACAACCGCCUUACUGCGUAUCUAUGACGACACUGUCGACACCGCGUAUCCGUAUCUGUGACACGCCUGCUCCGUAACAUAACUAGUAGUUUCAGGGGGCCUACCACCCCCCCUGAAAACAAUCCUAGUAGAAACACUGUCAAUCAUUAUUAUUAAACGUCAGAAGGAUGAUCAAUAAUUAAUCUAUAGAGCUCAUAUUGAAACAGACUUUACAAAGUGCUUCACAAUUCAGGAUCAAAUGAAAAGAUCAUUAACAGGGAAGUAAUGGCUUGAAUAAAAUUCAUUAAUUGAAUCAUUUAUAUGUUGACACUGUUUGGAUGCUUUCAACUGUUUGUUGGUCUGAUUUCUACGUUCACAAACAAAAUGAAAAAGUAAAUUAUUGUCAUUUUUACUCUUACAAGUGACUUUUGUGGAUGUGUAACAGUUAAAAAAGUCACUUUAAUAAUUCUUAUUUAUAAUUUGUGUUUGUGAAUUUUAUCUCAAUGAGGAAUUUUUAUUCAUGAAUGUUUCCUGUGGAAAUGACCUUGCUGCACAUCGUCCCUUCUGUCCCUCACAGAGCUGUUUUGCAUUGCUGAGGGAGCAGAUGUGCAGGAGAGACCAGAAGGUGAUUCAUAUGUGUUACAUUGUCUUCUGCAGGAGCAAAUAAAGGCUGGAAACCAA